rnacentral:lncRNA from 1 species
CUGAUGCUACAGUCACAAAGAGGUGUUCUGUAGUGGGAGCCUGGAAAGCAACGAAAGGGCUUCCUCAUCUGGGCCACCACUCACCUGCCUUCAGGACACAGAUGAACAUGCCGCACAGGAGCUUGGCGCACAUGGCAGCAUCAGAUGCAGAAAGCCUGGCACUGUGAUGAAUUGAAUUCCUGGUACCAACACUUCCUUCUACUUCCUGGCCCAGAGAGACCACUCCCUCCUCUCACACAGUGUCAGAGACUUUGAAGAUUGCGGUUGAUCAUCUCUCAACAGCAAGAGGUUAUGGAAGAGAAAUCUGAAGAGAAAGAUGAGAAAAAGGUGGAGAAAUCCUUCACUUCAAAUGAGAUUAGAGAAAUAUGUAAAAUGUGGGAAACAGUCCAAAAUUUUGUAGAAAACACCACCCAAAUAAGUCCAUAGUGGUGCAAAUGAUGAAAUCUGCUGAACAACAAUGCAAUGUCACAUUCCUCCAAAAUACUCAAAAGCAGCCAUGAAGGUUUUCAAAGGUAAGUGCAGAUUAAUUUAUUUUUCUUUAUAUUUUGCAUUUUCUUUAAUAUUUUAUAUUAUAUUUCAGCAUCACAAUCAUUUUUAUAUGAA